GUACCCCUGUGAGUGAAUUC
rnacentral:rRNA from 1 species